AAGGUACCCACUUAUAUAGUUCAUAUAAACACGAUAAAUGCAUUAUAGAAAAUCCUUGUUUUCGAUAAAACGCAUUUAAAUAAACCUAUAGACAUUUAAAGAACAGCAAUUGUUAUUCCAUGGAUGGCGUUAUUUGCACUACCCACUGUUAAAAAAUUAGACCCAUAAUUCACACACUCCCACGGGCCACAAUUUUAACGAUCAUUAAAAUUACUUAAAAAAGUUAGCCGAAAAUGAAUGAAAAAAAAUUACGUCAUUGCCAAGGCAUCCUUUAUUUGCGACAGAGAUGACAUCAUUCCUUUAAUCACAUAGGUAUCCUCAUACAUAAAAAUCAAAGGGCGUCAAAUCAGGUAUCCUCAUACAUAAAAAUCAAAGGGCGUCAAAUCAGGUGAGCGAGCAGGCCACCCAAUAGGACCUCGAUUUCCUGAUUUCCUAUCCAAUUAUUUCCAUAUUGUUCAUUUGUCAUGAAGAGGCAACUCUUCUAAACUGGGUAAUUUUCAUUUACCAUUUUUCUACCUAAUUUUCAAGAACUUCUAAGUAUCUCGGUCCUGUUAGGCUGUCAUUAAAAAAAGUUAAAUAAAACAUGUCUAUUUAAAAUACCUAUCCAAAAAAUCAAUCCCCAUUUUAGAUAGUGGAACUUUGCGGUUCCUAAAUGGAUUUUCAUCAGCUCAAUAAAUAUUAUUACAUCUAUUAAAGGCAUCACAAUUUGUAAACUUGCUUUCGUGCGAUCACAACACUUUUAAAGGAAAUCUCGGAGAUUCCUGGCAUUUUCUGAGGAACUAGUUGCAAAAUACUGACCGUCUUACCUUACUAAUACUCCAGCUAGAACUGGUGACAUAUUACUAAAAUUAAGAUGAAAAAAAAUAGAUGCUUCACACCAGCAUCAUUCGCGAGAGAAAGAGAAAGAUGGCAAGAUGGAAAAAUGAAAAAAAAAUUAAUGUAGUAAGCUAUUAAAGGAACGAGCAUUGAAAACUGGUUUUGAUAAGUAGGUGAGUUUGUCCACCAAAGAAGCUGAGAUCUGUGUCAGUGAAUCACUAUGCGUAACAGCUAUUAAAUAAUAAUAUACCGUAUGUUUAAAGGCGUUUAACCGCACUUUACACGUUUUAUCAUAACAGUUUUAUUUGUAUGGUCGACGUGCUACCGAGGAACCCAGCUAUGACAAACCUUUAUAGGAUUUGUAACAAUUGCAUUUGUUUGUUAAACCAGUUAUGAGCCUAAUCAAUAUUAUUGACAAAAUAAUCUUUCAUGUAAUUUUCCAAGUGGUAAAAGUAAAUUUUUAUGCCCCUUAAUCAUUGAUCAGAACAGGUCAUUGGAUUAUCUUGACAUUCAGUGAAAAGUCAAACAAAUAUUAGCUUUGUCACUCCAUUUACAGAUCCUCUGAAAAUAUUCUUUACUAAAUUAUUAUGGCCAGAGAAGGGGCACACCAAACUAAACAAUUUCUCGUUUUCUCGAUAUCAUCUGAAAUCACACACACACAUAUACAGUAUUGGAUUAUUUAACACUCGCGGUGCAGCUGACACAGAUAUGGACGUCUUUGGCCAAUAAACUCGCCUACUUAAAAACCAGUUCUCCGUGUUCUUUCCUUUAUUAUUUCUGCAUAUGUAUGCUUUUAUUACCUCAUCUGUCAGUCUCUUUUUAAAGUUAAAAUCGCUGUUUAUAUGCGAGAUGAAGGAAUAAAGAUAAAAGGUUAACCAAAAUGUUAAUUUUUGUUUUUUUUUGGUGAAAUCUCAAAAUGAUCAUUAUUGAUGCAAUUUGCAUUAACAAACUUGCCAAACGUGUAAUUUUAAACUGCGCAUGUGACAAUCUGUUUGUAACUAUUAGCAUCAAAGGGAAACGGUCACCAAUUGAUUAUUUUCUGCGUAUGCGCGAUUCGAUUUUUUUGAAUCCUACUAAAGUAAUGCAGCUGUUACAAAAGUAAAGAAAAAAAUUAAUAUAUAUUUCUCCACAUCUGGUAUAUGACUAACAUCUGGCCGUCAAGUAAUUAUUAUAAUAAUGUGUUUAAUUACACGCUGUACGGUUUAUGCAAAAACUAAUAAAUUAAAGUUUGUUGACUUUGAAGUCCUUUAUAAAACUUACCAACUCCAUGUUCACAAUAAUAAAUAUACACCACAUCCAUGAAUGUUACAAGAUAAACACAAACUAAUGGACAAAAUAAAUUAAACCAUUGCUUAUCUCUUAAAAGUAAGAUAAAAAAACCCACACUGGGAAUUAAACAAUUUGUAUCCCGACGUAAAACAAACUAACCGGCGACAUACAGAAGCCAAACGGCCUGAGGGUGAAAUAAAAUCAGAUGUCGUACUUUAGUAUAAAUCUAAAUAUAGCAGGGAAUUUAUAGGUGUGUGCAUGUGGCACGAACCCCUGUAUUUAGGUUUGAAGAUGAAAGAAAAAAAAAUUGAAAACAGUGAGAGCCCACGUGUGCCAGGCGUACGCCUUUGACUUAACGGAAGUUCACUUAUAGGGUGGAUGUUUAGAUUAAUAGAUCUUGUAUGCUUUAACUCAAGUAAAUUUUACACGGUGCUUUUGAGGCAGAGAACUAGCAGAUUAAUCGCGAAUUCCUCACCCUAUUUUCACUUAUAUUCAUUUUCAAAUUAGAAUAUAGUCUUAUAGAUAAUAUAGUCAUAAAAUUACUAUAUACUAACAUGUAUGGCUCCUGUUGUUGCCUAUAAAGGAAUCCAUUGAUCCUAUUUUGCCUACAAAUUGGUGAAAAGUGUCCAACUUGUCAAUUAUUUUAAUAGUAACGGUGAAAAAAGGACUCCACCAAAAGUGGCUUUACGAUAUAAAAAGAGUCAAUUUGAUUUAAGUAGAGCAUCCCAGAAUUAGGUAGGAAUAGAAUUAUUAUUUCAUAGAGAGAAGUCGCAAUAUAUAAAUACGUCCAUAAUACAUAAAAAGUCAAGAGGAACAUAAUUGCCAAUAUUAUCUCUUGAAACUUGCUAGCUACUGAACUUGGUUUUUAUUGUACCUCAAUAAAGAAGUGGAGGUAAGAAAGUUGAGUCACUAGGUUCUAUUAUGAUACACUGAUUCCAACACAAGAACCUUUGAUAAAAUUUUCAUCAGUGAGUGUAAGGACCAGGAGAAAGCACUGCAAUUCUAAGCAAUGGUCCUAUACCAUGAU